AGAAAUGUGAAUGAACAAAUGAAAGCUGCUAACUUUCUAUUUUAAUGGUUUAACUCCAUUAACAUUUCUA
rnacentral:tRNA from 1 species